GAAAUGCGAUAAGUAAUGUGAAUUGCAGAAUUCAGUGAAUCAUCGAAUCUUUGAACGCACAUUGCGCCCGCCAGUAUUCUGGCGGGCAUGCCUGUUCGAGCGUCAUUUCAACCAUCAAGCCCCGCGCUUGUGUUGGGGACCUGCGGCUGCCGCAGGCCCUGAAAACCAGUGGCGGGCUCGCUGUCACACCGGGCGUAGUAGAUUUUAUCUCGCUCAGGGCGUGCUGCGGGUUCCGGCCGUUAAAAAGCCUUUUUUACCCAAGGUUGACCUCGGAUCAGGUAGGAAGCCCCGCUGAACUUAAGC
rnacentral:misc_RNA from 1 species